UAUGUGACAUCCCAGGUUUGGGGCACUACACCUUAGGCGAAUCCCACAUCGGCUACGCACAGGGUGUUCAGACAGUAAAUAAGAGGGGGGAUGCCUUGAAUGGUUGGACGCGUUUUGGUGGUGAAAUGGCUGGAGAGUUGGAAGAACUCCAGGGUUAAGCGUGCUCGCUUAAUGGAAAUCCUAGGAUGGGUGACCUCCUGGGAAGUUUCUCAUUUCCCCAAGAACAAAACCGAUGGUGGGGCAAACCUCAGCGAGGACGCUGAGUCCCUAAAGGGGGGGUGUAUGUGACAGAGCAGGUUUGGGGCACUACACCUUAGGCGAAUCCCACAUCGGCUACGCACAGGGUGUUCAGACAGUACAUAAGAGGGGUGAUGCCUUGAAUGGUUGGACGCGUUUUGGUGGUGAAAUGGCUGGAGAGUUGGAAGAACUCCAGGGUUAAGCGUGCUCGCUUAAUGGAAAUCCUAGGAUGGGUGACCUCCUGGGAAGUUUCCCAUUUCCCCCAAGAACAAAACCGUGAGGGUGACCUCGUACGGAAGGGCCC
rnacentral:lncRNA from 1 species